GAGCUGUGUUUAAAAUGGCGCUCGCCUUUUGCGCCAUGGCGCAAGGCGCACUCAGGCGAUGGCUCUGUCGCCAUGUACCACCUAGGCGAGGGUGGGUUCCCUAAGGCGCGCGCCAUGGGUGCCUUGUCGAGAAGGCGAGCAUGGCAAAGGCGAGCGUAAGGCGAGAUUAAUGUAAACCGUAUCUAAACCAUAUAAGCCUUAAUUAAUAAUUAAACCUUAGACUUUUUUGCUCAAAAAAAAAAAAAUUAAACCUUAGACUUUAAAAAAACUUAACCGGGGAAACUUAAACGCCAAACCCUAGCUUUAUAAAAGAGAAGUUACGUAAAACAUAGAUCUAGAUCUCAAGGUUUUUUGCUUAAGGUUAGAACUCUCUAGUAUAAUAAAGCUUGCAUCUUAUUUAAAUUUAGUAUAUCAAUCAUUGCAUAAGUGUUCUCUAAGUUUCUUCUCCAAUACAAAACAAAACAAGACGUAACUAAAAUGACGUAACUAAAAUUUUCUUCAAGGCGAGCGCCAUAUUGCGCCAUGGCGCGAGGCGCAAGGCUCGGCACGUCUCGCCUUGGUGCGCCAUGCGCCAUUUUAAACACAGAUUCAGAGUUUUGAAGUUUUACACAUCUGAUUGAAUUUAGUGAAUUGUUUAGCCUUCUGAAAGAAAGAAGUGGAUUGAUGGAUGUGGAAUUCUAGAUAGGGAUCUAACUCUAUACUUCCAUCACAACCUCACGCUCACCCUAUCUCCUUUUUUUCUUUUCUC
rnacentral:lncRNA from 1 species